rfam:Stomoxys calcitrans breed 8C7A2A5H3J4 unplaced genomic scaffold Scaffold60, whole genome shotgun sequence.
AAUAUGAUGAAAUUAAUUGGUCCGUGUUUAUGAAUUUAGUUUGAUUAUCCCCUUCCAAUUCCUGAACAAA